AAGCUUUCAUGUGCAUGCACAAUUCUUCAGAUACACAGAUCUGUGUAUCUAAAGAAGUGUGCAUGCACACAAAAGCUU